UGGAGCACCGGCCGGGUGUAA
rnacentral:misc_RNA from 1 species